rnacentral:lncRNA from 1 species
CUGGCAUUAUAUUAGUCAAGUUCACAUUUUUUAUUGUGAGUUUGACCAGACAAAGCCAAGUCUAUAUAGGCUAGGUUGGGCCUACAGAUUUACAAGAAGAAGAAAAAGAGAGAUAUGGGUUAGACAUAUUGUCGAAGCUCAAUAAUGCAAUAAGACGUUAGGUUAAAUGUAUAGAUGCAUAUAUAUGUUUAGCUCUUAUGUCUUGUAACGGAAGCAAGCAAGAUUAAGCGGCUAUCUCUCUAGGAUUCUUGUAAGCAAAGAAUAAGCUUGUAUUACUCAGAUCCAUAGUGAAAAUUGACGGCAAGAGAUCCCUCUCCAGAUGUACCGGUUUGAAGCCGGGAACUGGGUUAACAAACUUGUUGUGUUCUUGCCUUUACUGCUUGUUUAGUGUGUGCUGCAAGAGAUCAAAAUCUCAACACUGAUUUUAUUUGGAUGUUUGAUUCUUACUCAAAAAGCUUUUAACUCAAAGGGUGAAUGAUAUACAGAUCUUCCCCAGAAAUACAUUAUGGUAAAAGAUUCUAAAGAGAAAACUUAUGAGCGACAUGAACUUUUGAAUUAUUUACAAAAUGUCAGAGGGAUUACCCAUUACUUGAUUAUAAAUUUGCUAACAGAAGGAUCAUCAAUAUAUGCAGUGGCAGAACUAGGUGGGGAGUUGAGUCUGGUAUUAUAUUAGCCAAGUUCACAUUUCUUAUUGUGAGUUUGACCAGACAAAGCCAAGUCUAUACGGACCAGGUUGGGCUUACAGAUUUACAAGAAGAAGAAAAAGAGAGAUAUGUGGGUUAGACAUAUUGUCGAAGCCCAAUAAUGCAAUAAGACGUUAGGUUAAAUGUAUAGAUGUAUUGUGAAAAUUACUCAGAUCCAUAGUGAAAGUUGAGGGCAAGAGAUCCCUCUCUAGAUGUACCGGUUUGAGGCAGGGAACUGGGUUAACAAAGUUGUGUUCUUGCCUUUACUGCUCGUCUAGUGUGUGCUUCAGGAGAUCAAAAUAUCAACACUUAUUUAUUUGGAUGUUUGAUUCUUACUCAUUACACUACAAGAAAACACAGUUUU